ACACACACACACACACACACACACACACACACACACACACACACACACACACACACACACAAAACACACACACACACACAAACACACACACACUGGACACACACACAAACACACACACACACAAACACACACACUGGACACACAAACUGGGCACACACACACACACACUGGACACACACACACACACACUGGACACACACACACACACACACACACACACACACACUGAACACACACUGAACACACACUGAACACACACAAACUGGACACAAAAUGGACACACACACUCAACACACACACUGAACAAACACACACAAACACAUUCUGGACACACGCACACUGGACAAACGAAAACACACACAGACUCACACACAUACACACACACACACUGGACACACACACACACACACACACACACACACACUGGACACACACACACACACACACACACACACACACACACACACACACACUGGUCAAACAAAAAUACACACACACACACACACUGGACACACACACACACACACACUGGACAAACAAAGUGGACAAACACACACACUGGACACACACACACACAAACACUGGAUACACACAGACACACACACACUGGACACACACACUAGACAAACACACACACACACACACUGGACUCACACACACACACUGGACACACACACACACUGGACACACACACACACACACUGGACACACACACACACACACUGGACACACACACACACACACUGGACACACACACACACACACUGGACACACACACACACACUGGACACACACACACACACACUGGACACACACACACACACUGGACACACACACACACACACUGGACACACACACACACACUGGACACACACACACACACUGGACACACACACACACACUGGACACACACACACACACACUGGACACACACUGGACAAACACACACACACUGGACACACACUGGACAAACACACACACACACACACACUGGACAAACACACACACACACACACACUGGACAAACACACACACACACACACUGGACAAACACACACACACACUGGACAAACACACACACACACUGGACACACACACACACUGGACACACACACACACACACUGGACACACACACACACACACUGGACACACACACACACACACUGGACACACACACACACACUGGACACACACACACACACUGGACACACACACACACACACACACACACACACACACACUGGACACACACACACACACACACACUGGACAAACACACACACACACACACACUGGACAAACACACACACACACACACACACUGGACAAACACACACACACACACACACACUGGACAAACACACACACACACACACUGGACAAACACACACACACACACACUGGACAAACACACACACACACACACUGGACAAACAGUAACAUUCUCAGAACAUACUGCACUUGUUUUAUCCUGUUUUAGAUGUAUCCUCUGUUUAAACAUUUAAACUCUUACAAUAACACUGUUAAAAUACCAAUGUGAUCAUUUCUUGUCUUUUAUGUUGGAAAAACAAAUUGUACAAUUAUAUGUGGACAUACGCUCCAUAGUUGUACAAGUAUAUAUGAUUAUAUUGUACUUUUCAUAAUAAAACAUAUUUGAAACAAGAAAAAGCAUGUUAAUAGUGGAAACAAAGCUAGUGAUGUGGGGGUUCUCUCAUAACCCUCAGUCCCCAGGUGGGUAGAUGGCAGGUUGAAUAAAUAGAAGCUUGUAAUGUGGGGGUUCUCUCAUAACCCUCAAUCCCCAGGUGGGUAGAUGGCAGGUUGAAUAAAUAGAAAACAAUAGGCUACAUAAAACAAUCCAUAAAUGUAUAAUUAUUAUGUAAUUUACACAAAACAUUAAGGACACCUUUCUUUCCAUGACAAACUGACCAGGCGUAACUCAAUAUUAGGAAGGUAUCCUUAAUAUUUUGUCCAAUCAGUGGCUCUGACCCUUUACGUAACAGUCAAUCCUCUUUUCCAGGAAACCUUCUUUAAAUUUCCCCAAAUGCUUCAACACUGCUGCUCUCUCACAGCUGCUCCAGGGCCU
rnacentral:lncRNA from 1 species